rnacentral:rRNA from 1 species
GACGAACGCUGGCGGCGUGCCUAAUACAUGCAAGUAGAACGCACAGUUUAUACCGUAGCUUGCUACACCAUAGACUGUGAGUUGCGAAUGGGUGAGUAACGCGUAGGUAACCUGCCUGGUAGCGGGGGAUAACUAUUGGAAACGAUAGCUAAUACCGCAUAAUAUUAAUUAUUGCAUGAUAAUUAAUUGAAAGGUGCAAUUGCACCACUACCAGAUGGACCUGCGUUGUAUUAGCUAGUAGGUGAGGUAACGGCUCACCUAGGCGACGAUACAUAGCCGACCUGAGAGGGUGAUCGGCCACACUGGGACUGAGACACGGCCCAGACUCCUACGGGAGGCAGCAGUAGGGAAUCUUCGGCAAUGGACGAAAGUCUGACCGAGCAACGCCGCGUGAGUGAAGAAGGGUUUCGGAUCGUAAAGCUCUGUUGUAAGAGAAGAACGGGUGUGAGAGUGGAAAGUUCACACUGUGACGGUAUCUUACCAGAAAGGGACGGCUAACUACGUG